ensembl:snRNA U6 U6 spliceosomal RNA
ACUUGCUUCCACAGUACAAACUAAAAUGGGAAGGAUAACACAAUGAUUAGCACGGCCCCUGUACUAGAAUGACAUGAAUUUGUGAGGCAUUUGCAUUUUUC